rnacentral:rRNA from 1 species
CAGCUUGCUGCUUCGCUGACGAGUGGCGGACGGGUGAGUAAUGUCUGGGAAACUGCCUGAUGGAGGGGGAUAACUACUGGAAACGGUGGCUAAUACCGCAUAACGUCGCAAGACCAAAGAGGGGGACCUUCGGGCCUCUUGCCAUCAGAUGUGCCCAGAUGGGAUUAGCUUGUUGGUGAGGUAACGGCUCACCAAGGCGACGAUCCCUAGCUGGUCUGAGAGGAUGACCAGCCACACUGGAACUGAGACACGGUCCAGACUCCUACGGGAGGCAGCAGUGGGGAAUAUUGCACAAUGGGCGCAAGCCUGAUGCAGCCAUGCCGCGUGUAUGAAGAAGGCCUUCGGGUUGUAAAGUACUUUCAGCGGGGAGGA